rnacentral:rRNA from 1 species
CUAGCGACUUCAGAGUUUGAUCCUGGCUCAGGAUGAACGCUGGCGGCGUGCUUAACACAUGCAAGUCGAACGAAGUUAGAAGUUGCUUACAACUUUUAACUUAGUGGCGGACGGGUGAGUAACGCGUGGGUAACCUACCCUGUACAGGGGGAUAACAGUUAGAAAUGACUGCUAAUACCGCAUAAGCACACGCUGUCGCAUGACAGAGAGUGAAAAGAAUUUCGGUACAGGAUGGGCCCGCGUCUGAUUAGCUAGUUGGCAAGGUAAAGGCUUACCAAGGCGACGAUCAGUAGCCGGCUUGAGAGAGUGGACGGCCACAUUGGAACUGAGACACGGUCCAA